rnacentral:rRNA from 1 species
UACGUAGGGGGCAAGCGUUGUCCGGAAUCAUUGGGCGUAAAGCGCGUGUAGGCGGCCCGGUAAGUCCGCUGUGAAAGUCGGGGGCUCAACCCUCGAAUGCCGGUGGAUACUGUCGGGCUAGAGUACGGAAGAGGCGAGUGGAAUUCCUGGUGUAGCGGUGAAAUGCGUAGAUAUCGGGAGGAACACCAGUGGCGAAGGCGGCUGUCUGGGCCGAUACUGACGCUGAGGAGCGCAAGCGUGGGGAGCGAACAGG